GGGUCGUUAGCUCAGUUGGCAGAGCACCGGCCUUUUAAGCCGGGGGUCGCAGGUUCGAUUCCUGCACGACCCA
rnacentral:tRNA from 1 species